AUGUCUUCUGAUUCUUCCGCGUUGUCUUCUCUACGACCUCUUGAUUCGCCUGUUAAUGUUCUUACUGCCGACGGCACAUCUCUUCCUGUUGCUAGUCGUGGUGUUCUUUCCACUCCAUCUUUUUCUGUUCCGAGUGUUUCACAUGUUCCUCGUCUUACCAUGAAUCUUUUUUCCGCUGCCCAACUCACUGAUUCUGGUUGUCGUGUCAUUCUUGAUUCCGACUCUUGUUCCAUUCAGGAUCGUCGCACCAAGGCUUUGGUUGGUGCUGGCCCCCGUCGCCGUGAGUCAGAGGGCCUUUGGGAGGUUGACUGGCUUUGUGUUCCUUCCGCUGCCACCACUUCUGCCAGCUCUCAUGCUCUUGAUGCCUCUUCGUCCGCGUCCUUCCAGCAGUGGCAUCAUCGCCUUGGUCACAUCUGUGGCUCUCGUUUGUCUUCUUUAGUUCGUCAAGGCCUCUUAGGGUCUGUAUCUAGAGAUGUCUCCUUACAUUGUAAUGGUUACAGACUUGGCAAACAGACUCAGCUCCCUUAUCCUACUAGUGAGUUUGUAUCUCGGCGUCCUUUUGACUUAGUUCAUUUUGAUGUUUGGGGUCCUGCUCCCUUUGAUUCGAAAGGUGGUCAUCGCUACUAUGUUUUGUUUAUUGAUGAUUUCUCUCGCUACACCUGGCUCUACUUCAUGAAAUCUCAUAGCGAUGUUCUCCCUAUAUACAAAUUGCUGCCAUGGUUCACACCCAGUUUGCCACGCCCAUUCGUACUUUUCGUGCUGACUCUGCUGGAGAGUUUAUCUCUCAGCUGUUGCGUGGUUUUCUCGCGGAACAGGGUACUCUUGCCCAGUUCUCGUGUCCUGGUGCUCAUGCUCAGAAUGGCGUUGCCGAACGAAAGCAUCGUCAUUUGCUUGAGACGGCUCGUGCGCUGA
rnacentral:rRNA from 1 species